rnacentral:rRNA from 1 species
CUGAAACCGUGUACGUACAAGCAGUGGGAGCACGCUUAGGCGUGUGACUGCGUACCUUUUGUAUAAUGGGUCAGCGACUUAUAUUCUGUAGCAAGGUUAACCGAAUAGGGGAGCCGAAGGGAAACCGAGUCUUAACUGGGCGUUAAGUUGCAGGGUAUAGACCCGAAACCCGGUGAUCUAGCCAUGGGCAGGUUGAAGGUUGGGUAACACUAACUGGAGGACCGAACCGACUAAUGUUGAAAAAUUAGCGGAUGACUUGUGGCUGGGGGUGAAAGGCCAAUCAAACCGGGAGAUAGCUGGUUCUCCCCGAAAGCUAUUUAGGUAGCGCCUCGUGAAUUCAUCUCCGGGGGUAGAGCACUGUUUCGGCAAGGGGGUCAUCCCGACUUACCAACCCGAUGCAAACUGCGAAUACCGGAGAAUGUUAUCACGGGAGACAC